AAGAGAAGACAAUCAAAGUAGAUUAUUAAAUACUAGUAAUACCUUUUGCAGAUCUGAAUGUAGAGCAUCUACCCUUCUCUCCAUAUCAUAAUUCCGAUGAGCUGAGUUGCUCGAGAUAGCUUCAAGACUCAUCAAAUUCUCCUGAAAAUUAGCAUAGGCUGAAUAAUUAGACACACUUGACUGAUUCACAGAGUCACAAACAUGGUCUAAAUAAUUUGGUUGUACACGACCUCGCCAGACAGUUUGGUGUGUGUUAGAACACCUAUUGAUCUGUUCUACACAACUAUGAUUAAAUGUAGGAGUAACUAAAUCCGACCUAUGACAAACUGAUUCACAUUUGGAUCAGUAAACACAGCUACAUACUUCACAAAAUGUGUAUCUUGACCAGCAAACAUAAGAAAUCAGCGAAGGCAAUGCAACUGGCAGUAAGCCAUUUUUAUCCGUAGCAAAGCAUGGGUAUUUAGCUAGUCAAUAAAAAAUGUGGAUGUUCCACAAAAAAUGAAGGGUUAAAAUGCUCCCUAAUGUUCACCCAACAUUUAUGGCAUAAUAAAAACGAAAUAGCUACGCUAUGGUUAAAGAGGAAUAUGACGUACCAUACAAAAAUACAAAAGAAAAUAACAAAUAUUAAUUAU
rnacentral:lncRNA from 1 species